AGCGAACGCUGGCGGCAGGCCUAACACAUGCAAGUCGAACGAACCUUUCGGGGUUAGUGGCGGACGGGUGAGUAACAUGUGGGAACGUGCCUUUAGGUUCGGAAUAACUCAGGGAAACUUGUGCUAAUACCGAAUGUGCCCUUCGGGGGAAAGAUUUAUCGCCUUUAGAGCGGCCCGCGUCUGAUUAGCUAGUUGGUUGAGGUAAUGGCUCACCAAGGCGACGAUCAGUAGCUGGUCUGAGAGGAUGAUCAGCCACAUUGGGACUGAGACACGGCCCAAACUCCUACGGGAGGCAGCAGUGGGGAAUCUUGCGCAAUGGGCGAAAGCCUGACGCAGCCAUGCCGCGUGAAUGAUGAAGGUCUUAGGAUUGUAAAAUUCUUUCACCGGGGACGAUAAUGACGGUACCCGGAGAAGAAGCCCCGGCUAACUUCGU
rnacentral:rRNA from 1 species